CUGAACCAGCCAAGUAGCGUGAAGGAUGACUGCCCUAUGGGUUGUAAACUUCUUUUAUACGGGAAUAAAGUGGAGUAUGCAUACUCCUUUGUAUGUACCGUAUGAAUAAGGAUCGGCUAACUCCGUGCCAGCAGCCGCGGUAAUACGGAGGAUCCGAGCGUUAUCCGGAUUUAUUGGGUUUAAAGGGAGCGUAGAUGGAUGUUUAAGUCAGUUGUGAAAGUUUGCGG
rnacentral:rRNA from 1 species